rnacentral:rRNA from 1 species
GAUGAACGCUGGCGGCGUGCCUAACACAUGCAAGUCGAACGGUCCUGGAAGCUGGAAGCUGGCGACUGGAAACUAGCUUGCUAGCGACCAGUAACUGGCAACUGGCAACCAGGAUAGUGGCGAACGGGUGAGUAACACGUAGGUGACCUGCCCCGAAGAGGGGGAUAACCGCUGGAAACGGCGGCUAAUACCCCAUGUAGUCGUGAGGGUUAGAGGCCUCAUGAUUAAAGCUCCGGCGCUUUGGGAGGGGCCUGCGGCUUAUCAGCUAGUUGGUGGGGUAACGGCUCACCAAGGCAAUGACGGGUAGCUGGUCUGAGAGGACGAUCAGCCACGUGGGCACUGAGACACGGGCCCGACUCCUACGGGAGGCAGCAGUGAGGGAUAUUGCGCAAUGGGUCGAAAGCCUGACGCAGCAACGCCGCGUGGGCGAUGAAGGCCUUCGGGUUGUAAAGCCCUUUUCUGGGGGAAGAGGAAGGACGGUACCCCAGGAAUAAGUCCCGGCUAACUGCGUGCCAGCAGCCGCGGUAAAACGUAGGGGACAAGUGUUAUCCGGAUUCACUGGGCGUAAAGCGCGUGCAGGUGGUGCUUUAAGUUGGGCGUGAAAUCUCCUGGCUUAACUGGGAGGAGUCGUUCAAUACUGGAGCACUUGAGGGCAGGAGAGGGAGGUGGAAUUCCCGGUGUAGUGGUGAAAUGCGUAGAUAUCGGGAGGAACACCAGUGGCGAAGGCGGCCUCCUGGCCUGCUUCUGACACUAAGACGCGAAAGCUAGGGGAGCAAACGGGAUUAGAUACCCCGGUAGUCCUAGCCGUAAACGAUGGAUACUAGGUGUGGGUGGCAUUGACCCCAUCCGUGCCGAAGCUAACGCGAUAAGUAUCCCGCCUGGGGACUACGGCCGCAAGGUUAAAACUCAAAGGAAUUGACGGGGGCCC